rnacentral:rRNA from 1 species
GAGGAAUAUUGGUCAAUGGGCGUAAGCCUGAACCAGCCAAGUAGCGUGCAGGAUGACGGCCCUAUGGGUUGUAAACUGCUUUUAUGCGGGGAUAAAGGAGCCCACGUGUGGGCUUUUGCAGGUACCGCAUGAAUAAGGACCGGCUAAUUCCGUGCCAGCAGCCGCGGUAAUACGGAAGGUCCGGGCGUUAUCCGGAUUUAUUGGGUUUAAAGGGAGCGUAGGCCGCCUCUUAAGCGUGUUGUGAAAUGCGGGUGCUCAACAUCCGACUUGCAGCGCGAACUGGGGGGCUUGAGUGCGCCGAAAGUAGGCGGAAUUCGUGGUGUAGCGGUGAAAUGCUUAGAUAUCACGAAGAACUCCGAUUGCGAAGGCAGCUUACUGUAGCGCAACUGACGCUGAUGCUCGAAAGCGUGGGUAUCGAACAGGAUUAGAUACCCUGGUAGUCCACGCGGUAAGCGAUGGAUGCUCGUUGUCGGCCUUUGGGGCCGGUGACCAAGCGAAAGCGUUAAGCAUCCCACCUGGGGAGUACGCCGGCAACGGUG